CUACCCGAUCUGCGGUGCCUACCCGAUUUGCGCACGCAUGCGCAAAGCUUUAGUAUUACGACCCUGCCCGAUCUGCGUUUUUCUACUUCACGACACGAGUCCCCAUCCGAUUUGUCUCGCGCACGUGCUCUCUGCUUAAUUAAAAUUCAUUUCACGACACUGCCCGAUUUGUUCUGCGCAUGUCUAAUAUUUUACAACACACGUCACUCGUCAGGUUUGAAUUGCACUUGCGAGUCAUUUUUGUGUAGACGUUUAUCUCCGUCUGUAAGUGGACUUCUUACUGGAAAAGAUGAUAACUUCUGAAUUUUAUAACGUCUUGGAAGAAUAUGUGUCGCCUGAAAAUUUUAACUCCAUUCGAAUGAAGAGGGAGCGAAAUGAAAUGCGACGUAUGUCUGUGAACUUUAUAAUGGAUACGUAUAGCUUUUUGAUGCCCAGUGGUAACCAGCCUUCCAAGUGGCUGAACAGAUGCCAGUGUACCUGAAUUCUGAGACACAACUGGAUGUCCUUUUCUUCUGCUUUUAAGAUUCCCAAUUCAAGAUGAUGUGCUAUUUCUACAGGUAAGACUACUGAUGCUUUUAGUUUCAAAAGUAAUUUGUGCACAAUUCCCACAAAGCCUCCCCAUAUUUAUUACUUGAUCUGUAAUAUUUUGUUGCCUUGAAUACUGUACUGUAUGUCUGCUCACUCUGUCCAGUGACUAACACGGCUUUUUAAUUUUAGACAGGAAAGCCUCAGAGUGUGAAUCCUCACAAACACAGAGACUGAGGAGCAUCAGUCCCAGUAGUCACUAAACAGGGAUAUUAUUCUGUUUUGCAAAAUAACAUUUAUUUUCUUAAGUUACUGUGCUUUUGUUGUUGGAUUUUGAAAGAGCCGAGACUUAAUUUUAACUUAAAACAAAACUAAGGUAGGAGAGAAAAAUGAAGAUGUUUUCAUGUAAGUAAUGCCACCUGAGCACGUCACAUUAGAAGUUCAGAUAUACAGAGAUUGUAACACAAUGUCUACUGUAUGCAUAAUGUAAAAGAAAAAAAAAUGAUGCUACAUAUAAUGACAAUUAAGUUGGAGUUCUUUCAACAUCCAACAAAAAACCACAGUAAUUUAAAAAAAUAUUAUUAGUCAGACUUUACUCUAAGCAGAACUUUAUCUAUUGUGAUGGUUUACUUUGGUAAUAAUUGAUCUGCAGGAGUACCAAGGAAGGAGGCAGAACAAGAAGUAAGGGUACACUUUAUUAAUGUUUGAACUCCAUGAGUGAACAUCUACUGUGUUUAUGUUUUUAACAGUUACAGUGAAGUAGAAGAGUCCGGCCGUGUUAUUGGGCAGCAGUUAAAGAAGAAGGAAGGAGAGAUGUGUGCCAUGUUGAAGUAGCAGCUGGCCCUCCUGCCUGGCACUUCUAGAAUCCUCCAUCUAAAUCUCUGCUCUGAUCUGCUGUGCCUUUGCCAAGUGAUCACGAGUUUAUUGCAAUGGUGCCCCCCUGCGUCUCCACCUUCUGUUAGAUCAACUCCAACUGCCUGUGAUAGAAGAAAAGUUCACAAGACGUCCUGAAAUGGAAUUGUGAUUAGAGUGAGACGGCCACAAUUAUGUAUGCUGGGAUGUGCAGAGGGGGCUGUGUAGGCUUUGGCUUGGGACCCCCAGAGGUUUAUUAUCUCUGGCAACUUUGAAGGCUGCAAGUUUGUCUUUGUCCCCGGCCAUUUGACAAGGCAGUGUAUUAAUUACAAAGGACAAGGACCCCUCCAUUUGCUUCAUAUUUACUUUUAUAAUACCUUCAAUUUUCUUUGUAACUGUAUAUUUUUGUAGAGCAAAUUGAGCUACACUUGUAAGCAAAGGUAAUAUAAAAAUAUUAUUAGUGAACAAAUGUUAAGGGACAGAUCAGGAAA